GCAGCCAGGUGCCUCUCUUGGAUCUGAGUCAAGUGCCCUGCGGCCACCUACGGAGCACUCAGGUAGGAUCCUGAAAGCCCCUCACCUCCAUCUGCCCUGCUUGAUUACUGUUUCAGGUCCCACCAAAGGACUCCCAGCUGGCUGGCUGGGGUCCAGCGGCUCGGGCUCGCCCAUCACAUCAUCUGUGCCACCAUGGGGAGGAUGGGAAGGACCGUCAGGAGAGAAAUGACAAUUGGGCCACCUUCUGUGCUUGGAGCUCACCUCAGAGAGUGUCUUUUGACUGGGUCAAAAGACUCGGUCAGCAAAAGGAGUCUGAAACAGCUGCGCUUCUGGUAGGUGCCCUGCUCCACUGAUGAGAGAAGUGAGGGAUGGACAACUGUUAUUUCUCCAGAGUACAUCGGUCACAGAGCAAAAAAGAACUAGGACUGCUUUUGUUGAAAUUGAUGAAAACCCAACACAGAUCAAUGAAAAGGUGGAAAGAGAGUUGGAAAGAGGUGUCCUAACAGCUUAACAGGUAGUGAUUUCAAGGAUUAGAGAAGAAAGUCCAAGAAUACUUGCCUCCGACUGGAGCCUGUUUAUCUCCCUCUUUCCUAUGCAAGGAGUUUCAUUUUUGCAGAGCAGGGGGAUGGCUGCUGACAAAUCCAGGCUGCAAUCACACAUUAUGACCACCUCCACUGGAAGAUGGAUUCGUUCUCCAAAAUUGUGUAAACAGCAGGGAGCGAUUCUAACAGGUCACGCUGGAGUCCAGAUCCCGCCUCUUAGGUUUAUGUGAUGAACUGAAUAUUUGUGCUCAUGCCCCCGGAUGGUAUCUGGAGAAGGAACCUUUCAGAGGUGAUUAGGCCAUGAUGAUUGAGUCAGUGCCCUUACAAAAGAGAUGGAAGAGAGUUCCCCCGCUGUUUCCAUCAUGUGAGGACACAGCAAAAAGAAGACACUCUGUGAACCAGGAAGCAGCCUCUCCCAGACAUCAAAUCUUCCAGCACCUUGAUCUCAGACUUCCCAGCCUCCAGAACUGUGAGAAAUAAAUGUGUGUGGUUCAUUUUAUUUUUUAAAAUG
rnacentral:lncRNA from 12 species